UGCCCUGGCUGGAUGGCCAGACAAUUCCAGGGAAAGGUGUAAGUUGGCCAUCUUGAAAGGGGGCGGAGCUACGAUACACCAAGUCCAGAGGGAAAGUGAUGUGGCAACCUCGAAUUGGAGGAAAAACGUUUGCACUCGCUAUCCAAGGGGUCGUGACUGACGGUACAAAAGAGGACGUGGCUAGGUGAUCUGUUCCUUUGUAAUGGUUAAGAGAGAACUGCUGAAAGAUGAGUGCAAAAUAACUGUUAAUGGAAGACGAGGUCUAGCACAUACAGCGUUUCUUGAAGAGGUUCAUUUUGGACUGCCAAGGAUGUUAACGGAAAAAACGCCAAGCCUACCAGCUGUCACACCAGAGUUUGUUAGGAGUUACUGUGUUGCCAGCUCCUCUAAAGUGCCCCCAUUAAAGCCCUAGGACAAAAGUUAUGCAACAGAAAGAUCUAACAGAGUAAAAAUUGGCCACCAAGAAUGAAAUUUGAUUGGGGAAUGAGGGAAGAACCUGUGAACACAUCAGUCUAUGCAGUCCUCCCUGCUGAGGUCCAGUCCUGCCCCUUCAUGACUCCUGCUUUGUGCCCUAUAUAAUGUUUCAGAUAUCCAUCUGACCCUAAAGUCUGGUGCUACUUGCUGUUUGACAGUGAUAAAGGUCUUGCUCUGGAGCUCCCCUACGUGCUAAAACUGUUCACACAAGAGUUUAGCCAGCUUACCGUGACAAAGUUUACAUUAUUAUUCCAACUGCUGAAAGCUCCUGGGUUUAUCGAUCACAUUGUUUAAGAACGGAGAGAUUUGUGUUCAGAUGUUCACAUUUGCUGUCAGUUUCAUAGUAGCUAGAACAUCAUCCUAGUACAUAUACUUUGAGAAGUAUAGGAAAUUCAAACACAUCACACAAUUGUUAAUAUAAUAACCUAAGUUUAUGUACCUAACAUAGGCCAAACAUUGAACUGUAAUUAGUCUAGAGGGCAUCAAAUAAUGUUAUAAUCCUUAUUCCAUGUACAGCAAAUGUAUAUUAGUUACAAAGUAUAGGAUUUUAAAUAACACACAUUAUAAUGAUUUAUGCAAAAAAAUGAUCUCAAUGAAUAUAACGUUUACCUAUAAUUUUGGCACUAUUGUUUUGGAAUCAACAAAAAUACUGCAGGUUAUUAGUUUCAUGCAAAACAAGUUUGAAAUAAUUCUCAUGUAAAACCUCUAAAUUCUACUUUCUUUAGUCACUUACAUCAAAAAGAUUGACAUUGUGUACAUUAUACCACCAACAGAACAAGCAUUAACUGCAGUCAAAAUAGUCUGUGCUUCAGUGUACAACAUAUGAAAAGAAGCAAGACAUCUGGUAGAUGCACCAACGUAAAGAACUAGCUGUUAUUGAGAACUGAUAUGGAGCUCAUUUCAAAACUUUACAAACUAAUUGAAAUGUGAGAACACUAUGAAAUAUUACAAUAUUACCCUCUAGACCUUGCAGUAAAAAUUAUAAUGUAUUCUUACUUUUUUUCUGUUUACCCAGUUCGUACAUCUAGCAUGGUUUUCAUACAGUGGCCUUUCUUAGUAAUGGUAUUUCCAUUACUCAAGAUCUUAAGAACCAAAUACAUCUGGGGCAAUUUCUGACACUUUAAAACCUUUUUUUGUGAAAAAAGAAAACUACAAACUUAUAAAACUACAAACUAACCGCACAGAAAUGAUAUUUAAACACUGUUAU